rnacentral:rRNA from 1 species
AAGAUUAAGCCAUGCAUGUCUAAGUAUAAGCAAUUAUACCGUGAAACUGCGAAUGGCUCAUUAAAUCAGUUAUCGUUUAUUUGAUAAUACCUUACUACUUGGAUAACCGUGGUAAUUCUAGAGCUAAUACAUGCUGAAAAUCCCGACUUCGGAAGGGAUGUGUUUAUUAGAUAAAAACCAAUGCCCUUCGGGGCUUUUUGGUGAUUCAUGAUAACUUUACGGAUCGCAU